CCCUUAGAUGUUCUGGGCCGCACGCGCGCUACACUGACGAAUGCAACGAGCUUAUAACCUUGGCCGAAAGGUCUGGGUAAUCUCCAAAUUUCGUCGUGAUGGGGAUAGAUUAUUGCAAUUAUUAAUCUUCAACGAGGAAUGCCUAGUAAGCGCAAGUCAUCAGCUUGCGUGGAUUACGUCCCUGCCCUUUGUACACACCGCCCGUCGCUCCUACCGAUUGAAUGGUCCGGUGAAGCGUUCGGACCGUGGCCUUUGGACGGUUCGCCGUCUGUUGGCUGCGGGAAGUUCGUUAAACCUUAUCAUUUAGAGGAAGGAGAAGUCGUAACA
rnacentral:rRNA from 1 species